rnacentral:rRNA from 1 species
GACGAACGCUGGCGGCGUGCUUAACACAUGCAAGUUGAACGGAAAGGCCCUGCUUUUGUGGGGUGCUCGAGUGGCGAACGGGUGAGUAACACGUGAGUAACCUGCCCUUGACUUUGGGAUAACUUCAGGAAACUGGGGCUAAUACCGGAUAGGAGCUCCUGCUGCAUGGUGGGGGUUGGAAAGUUUCGGCGGUUGGGGAUGGACUCGCGGCUUAUCAGCUUGUUGGUGGGGUAGUGGCUUACCAAGGCUUUGACGGGUAGCCGGCCUGAGAGGGUGACCGGCCACAUUGGGACUGCGAGACGGCCCAGACUCCUACGGGAGGCAGCAGUGGGGAAUAUUGCACAAUGGGCGGAAGCCUGAUGCAGCAACGCCGCGUGCGGGAUGACGGCCUUCGGGUUGUAAACCGCUUUCGCCUGUGACGAAGCGUGAGUGACGGUAAUGGGUAAAGAAGAACCGGCUAACUACGUG